AAGGUGUUGGAUAUAAUAUAUAGCAUGUUUCUAUAAUAUAAUACGUAGAAAUAGGUAUUCUCAUAGGAUAUGAACUUUAAAAUGAUUUAUUAAGAUACCCGUGAGUUAGUUAAAUUAUUGUACAUAACCUUCUGCUCUGAAUACUAUAUUAUAGGUAUACGAACGGUGUAUAAUAUUUAAUUUAUAAUUUAUCACAUCUGCUGUACUAUGACGUUUGCGGAAAAUUUAUACUCGAAUAAUA